rnacentral:rRNA from 1 species
UACAGAGGUCCCAAGCGUUGUUCGGAUUCACUGGGCGUAAAGGGUGCGUAGGCGGUCGGGUAAGUCUGACGUGAAAUCUCCGAGCCUAACUCGGAAACUGCGUCGGAUACUAUUCGGCUAGAGGAAUGGAGGGGAGACUGGAAUACUUGGUGUAGCAGUGAAAUGCGUAGAUAUCAAGUGGAACACCAGUGGCGAAGGCGAGUCUCUGGACAUUUCCUGACGCUGAGGCACGAAAGCGUGGGGAGCAAACAGG